rnacentral:rRNA from 1 species
CAGGGAAUCUUGCGCAAUGGGCGAAAGCCUGACGCAGUGACGCCGCGUGUGGGAUGAAGGCUUUCGGGUUGUAAACCACUUUCAGCAGGGACGAUUAUGACGGUACCUGCAGAAGAAGCUCCGGCCAACUACGUGCCAGCAGCCGCGGUAAUACGUAGGGAGCGAGCGUUGUCCGGAUUUAUUGGGCGUAAAGAGCUCGUAGGUGGUUCAGCAAGUCGGGUGUGAAAGCUCUGGGCUCAACCCAGAGAUGCCACCCGAUACUGCUGUGACUAGAGUCUGGUAGGGGAUCGCGGAAUUCCAGGUGUAGCGGUGAAAUGCACAGAUAUCUGGAGGAACACCAGCGGCGAAGGCGGCGAUCUGGGCCAGCACUGACACUGAGGAGCGAAAGCGUGGGGAGCGAACAGG